UAACAUGUACUCGAUUAGAUAGAUCUCUU
rnacentral:piRNA from 1 species